GAGUGCACAGCUAGAAGCACUGUGCUCAGGCUCCAGAGAUUUACAGCAUAUGGGGUCCCAUAAAAUAUAAUGCUAAAAGAACUGUCUGGAGAGCAUCCAGUCAGGGAGGCAGCUCUUAUGAAGAUCUCUGCCUGGCACAAGCCAGAAUCAAACUGUGCAUACUAAUGUCAACAGAAUUUGUGGCACAUAUACUUCCCAUUGCCUGGAGCAACUAGUUGGCUGGCAAAGACAAAACAGAAUUACUUCUCUGAAAUGAGCUAUGUCCCUUUAAAUUGUGGAAUAAAUGCAUACUUCCAGUUGUUCUAUAAAGUGGCUGAAAGGUCUACAGAACUCAUUGGAGGUUAGAAAGAAAAGAUUUUACAAGUAUGUCUGGCCCUUCUCCACAGAGCACAGAUGCAAUGAGGAGAGAGGCUCUGUUGUCACCCAUCCAUGCAGUGCUUGAGUAAAAGCGUGCAGAAUAAACUGUCCUGUUGAGACACUAGAGAAAAGAGGUGGCCAAACU